AAAAUCUCUGACAUAAAACUGGUCUAUUGGCUAUAGUCCUCUGCUCAGCAACUCUAGAUAGAGGUUAACUAGUUUGCUAAAACAGCUCUUUGAAAGCAGUUAUUUAUGGAGGGGAGAAUGUUUCUCAUUUGCUUUCAAUUUCCUAAUUGGGAUUAGAACUAGCAACACUCUAUUUGGAAACUUGCUUACACAUAACAAUGAGAUCUUCCUGUAGAAUCUCACCUUAGCUUUUAGUGGCAGGGAAUAGACAGGUUCUGUGAUUGAACAAUUCUCCGGUCUGUCAAGAGUUUGGUAAACAUGUUCUUCCCUGUCCUCUUCACUCUCCACCUCCUCUUCUUCCUUGUCUUCUAACUCCCCCUCUGAGUGGUCUGGGGAGGACAGGCGUGGUCGGCUAGCCAAAUCUUCUGACCAUCUAUCUCUGUGGAAGAUAUGAAGGACUCUGAUUGGCCACUCUCAGACAAAGACCUUGGCCAGACAGGGGGGAUGGCCCAUGUCUGUCCAGUGAGCGAAGAAGACAAGAUGGCUGCUGCUAAGGCAGAUCUGUAGAUGGAAAGAGGCUGGCUGUGUGCCGAUUUCUCGUAUCUAGACGCUUCACCACAAGAAGGCACCUUGAUACAAAAGUAGUGCUGAUUGGCUAAAAGUGAGGAGCGAAGCCAAUCAGUGACUAAUAUGAUUUACCUAGCAACGACGUCCUCACCGACCAGCGGACAGGCCAACAGGGGGCGAUGUCGUUCCAUCUAAUGCUCAACUGUCAUCGACUGUCUCUCGAGUCUCAGCACAUAGGGCGGUUGUAAUUUUCUUUCUUUCUUUCUUUCUUUCUUUCUUUCUUAUUUUUAAUGUAUAUACAGUAAAAAAUACAAUUGAAUAUGUCCCCUAAAAUAACAUUUUAGUAAUACCUUUUAAAGUGUGUAUCACAUGACAGACCAUUCAAAUGUGUCUUCCAUCCAGUCAACUUUGUCCCUGACAUUUUUAAAACCGUUAGCUGCUAAACUUGGCAUAUAAACUUAAAUAAAGAUGUUUGUGGGUGCUACCUUUCUGAAUAUCCCCAUACUAUCAAGCAUGAACAGAUAGCGAACACAUUUUGUCAU